UAUAUGGAGAGUUUGAUCCUGGCUCAGGACGAACGCUGGCGGCGUGCCUAAUACAUGCAAGUCGA
rnacentral:rRNA from 1 species